ACUGGCAGCAGGAACUGAGGGAAGGAUGGACCUAGAAAUACUGAAGAGGUCAAAUCAGCUGUGCCCUCUGAUUGAAUGCGAAGGAUGAAAGAAUGGAAGGAUCCAAGGUUUUAAGACAAGGCAGAAAAGCAACUGUGUUGAGGUCAGAGAGAAGAAAUUGGAAUUACAGAGGGGACCUGAUCUGUACAUACUAUUUGUCAAGUGAGUUGGGGCAAAAAAGAGGUUGAGGGUCACUGAUAAAGACUCAAAGAAUCUUGAAAAUGGAAAGGUUCUCAGAAGACACAGAGGCCAACCUCCAUUUAAAUG
rnacentral:lncRNA from 1 species